AAAUUGAAGAGUUUGAUCAUGGCUCAGAUUGAACGCUGGCGGCAGGCCUAACACAUGCAAGUCGAACGGUAGCACAGAGAGCUUGCUCUCGGGUGACGAGUGGCGGACGGGUGAGUAAUGUCUGGGAAACUGCCCGAUGGAGGGGGAUAACUACUGGAAACGGUAGCUAAUACCGCAUAACGUCGCAAGACCAAAGUGGGGGACCUUCGGGCCUCACACCAUCGGAUGUGCCCAGAUGGGAUUAGCUAGUAGGUGGGGUAACGGCUCACCUAGGCGACGAUCCCUAGCUGGUCUGAGAGGAUGACCAGCCACACUGGAACUGAGACACGGUCCAGACUCCUACGGGAGGCAGCAGUGGGGAAUAUUGCACAAUGGGCGCAAGCCUGAUGCAGCCAUGCCGCGUGUAUGAAGAAGGCCUUCGGGUU
rnacentral:rRNA from 1 species